rnacentral:rRNA from 1 species
GGGGAAUCUUGCGCAAUGGGCGAAAGCCUGACGCAGCGACGCCGCGUGCGGGAAGAAGGCCUUCGGGUUGUAAACCGCUUUCAGGAGGGACGAAGCCACUCGGGUUAAUAGCCUAGAGGGUGACGGUACCUCCAGAAGAAGCCCCGGCUAACUACGUGCCAGCAGCCGCGGUAAUACGUAGGGGGCUAGCGUUGUCCGGAUUUAUUGGGCGUAAAACGCUCGUAGGUGGCUACGUCAAGUCGGACGUGAAAUCUCCCGGCUUAACUGGGAGGGGUCGCUCGAUACUGGCGAGCUCGAGGCAGGUAGGGGGAAGCGGAAUUCCCGGUGUAGUGGUGGAAUGCGUAGAUAUCGGGAGGAACACCAGUGGCGAAGGCGGCUUCCUGGACCUGAUCUGACACUGAGGAGCGAAAGCGUGGGGAGCGAU